CAAUGAGAUGACAGAUCGAUGUAUUUGUGGCUUUUUUGGCGCAACAAAGCGUUCUGAGUGCAACCAGCAGUUAGUCGAAAAAAAAAAAACGGAACUUUAGAAGCGCAUCGUUUCGUGGGGGAAACAUUUUAGUAACGGACCGGAUAGAAGAUUAUCUCGGCUAGUGGGGGAAAAUGACAAAAAAAAGCCGUGAAACGUAAUGAGAUAAAAGAUGACAGGCGAGUGGCGAGAUGUUGAACCUUGUUUCUGCGGAGGCGCGGCGUCGGACAGCCGGUCUGUUGGUUGCUGAACGUGGAAGCAGAUGGCUUGGUGGUCAGUGUGGUGUCGAGUAUUGAACCCAGGGCGUGAUGGAUGAGUGUUUGGAGCUGAUAUGGUGGACAUGUUAAAGCACCCAUCGACAUACAAUUGUGAUUGUCCUGGACAUUGAACGCCUGUGGGCUGUUUCACCCCACCAGCAGGUCAACCUGGUAUGAAGCAACCAAGUCCUGACAUGACCUCACCUCCACAAGGUCAGUACCCCUGCAAGGGGAUAACUCGUCUGAUGACACACCCCUGAGCAUGGCCAGCUGCAUGAGCACUGCAGACUCCGAGCUGUCAGCAGAAAAGACUGCAUGAACUUUUGGUGGACACUGGAGACACAUAUGGGCCUCUGAGUUGUGGACUAAGACUGUCACUGAAUAUGAUACUGAGAGAAGAAACAGUGUCUGCCGUUGUGACCUGAGGGGGAGAAAGCAUUGCUAGCAUCUAUGGAGGACUGAGAACAGAGCCUGCUACAACUGGUGUUCUCUCCAGCUAUGGAAGAUGCAACGUCUGGGUUCCUGCUCUUCCUCCCACCUGACCUGCCACACGUCACUCUGUUCUACGACAGCAACCGCACAGACCGGUAUCAUGAUUCUUUAAGGUAAAACACAGACAGUCAUUCUAGGAAUAUGUAUGUGGCACCUGAGCAUUUGGCAGCUGCUACUGCUGAACAAUUUAUAAUGAUAUAUGAUGUCGGAUGAAACGAUUACACACAUUUCUCUUUCUCUCCAUGUUGAGCACCAGAAAGAAGUAGGGGCGUGGUUAAACAUUCCCUUCAGGCAACUGAUUGGGCUCCUACCAGCGUGCAGGAUGCACUCUCUGACUGGAAGGAGUUUUUCGGGGUUGCGACGUCAACCUCCCAGGAUUCACAGGUAGCACACGAAAUUUGACAUCUAAAGAUUGUUGUGUAGUUUCAGAUUAUAUUGGAGAUUCCUAAGGAAUGUGAAGGAGGGUCCACAAACCCCCAGACCUCGGCUGAGUGCGCGCUAAGGUCAACGAAGGACAGAAGUGGGGGUUGUGAUUUAGGGUGCUCUGACCAGAGUGCGGAGCCGUGAGGUGCCACCACAGGGUGCCAAAGGAAACACCGAGACCAGUGCAGAACCAGAGUGGGAAAGUCAUCAAAAGAAAGUGGUCAGAACCAAGGUGGACCAGCCCGUACCAGACGGUGGAACGCACUUCGCACGCUGUCAGGCUCAAAGGAAAAGGCGACACCUGGUAUCAUUGGAGUCAGUGUGCACCCGCUGAGGAACCCCAGCGCUCUCAAACAUCAGGUGCGCCAGGAUUUACAGGAUAACACCACAACGCUGUGAAAGGUAGCCUAUCGGUGAAUCCUCUACUCAACCACGGUCAUAAUAAAACCCGUAGAGAGAUUCAGUGAGCUUAAGCUCACUCACAAAAAUCGCGCAAAGGAGACAGAGCAGAAGAACAAAGAAGAAGAGGCGGAAGAAGUGGGCAGUGAGCUGCUCUCCUGCUCCAGAAAGAAAAAAAAGAAAAAAGCAUAAAACAGAAGAGGCGGAAGUAGUGGUUUUUACCUGACCACAUGGUGUUGUAGCAACUCUUACACUCAGAGAGAAGAAGAAAACCAAAAAGAGACUCAGAGAACUAAAAAAAAA